UGAGUAUCAAGAACUAUUUAAAAUGAAUUAAAAAUAACCAGAAAAGAGAAAAUUCACAAAAAAUAUCAAAUGAUGAAAUAAAAAAAAUUAAAAAUUAGAAAUAGAAACUAGAAUUUAUUUGGGAAAUAAUGCAAUUGGUCCCAUAAUUUUUGGAUAAAAAAUGAAAGAGAUAUUAAUUUUUAAAAAUAAUUGGAAUUAAAGAAAAUAAAAUGAAAAUAA
rnacentral:lncRNA from 1 species